rnacentral:rRNA from 1 species
GAUGAACGCUAGCGGCGCGCCUAAUACAUGCAAGUCGAGCGAAUGGAUUAAGAGCUUGCUCUUAUGAAGUUAGCGGCGGACGGGUGAGUAACACGUGGGUAACCUGCCCAUAAGACUGGGAUAACUCCGGGAAACCGGGGCUAAUACCGGAUAACAUUUUGAACCGCAUGGUUCGAAAUUGAAAGGCGGCUUCGGCUGUCACUUAUGGAUGGACCCGCGUCGCAUUAGCUAGUUGGUGAGGUAGCGGCUCACCAAGGCAACGAUGCGUAGCCGACCUGAGAGGGUGAUCGGCCACACUGGGACUGAGACACGGCCCAGACUCCUACGGGAGGCAGCAGUAGGGAAUCUUCCGCAAUGGACGAAAGUCUGACGGAGCAACGCCGCGUGAGUGAUGAAGGCUUUCGGGUCGUAAAACUCUGUUGUUAGGGAAGAACAAGUGCUAGUUGAAUAAGCUGGCACCUUGACGGUACCUAACCAGAAAGCCACGGCUAACUACGUGCCAGCCGCCGCAGUAA